rnacentral:rRNA from 1 species
ACACAUGCAAGUCGAGGGGUAUAGUAGCAAUACUAGAGACCGGCGCACGGGUGCGUAACGCGUAUGCAAUCUACCUUUUGCAGAGGGAUAGCCCAGAGAAAUUUGGAUUAAUACCUCAUAGUAUAACGACUCGGCAUCGAGAUGUUAUUAAAGUCACAACGGCAAAAGAUGAGCAUGCGUCCCAUUAGUUAGUUGGUAAGGUAACGGCUUACCAAGACUACGAUGGGUAGGGGUCCUGAGAGGGAGAUCCCCCACACUGGUACUGAGACACGGACCAGACUCCUACGGGAGGCAGCAGUGAGGAAUAUUGGACAAUGGGCGCAAGCCUGAUCCAGCCAUGCCGCGUGCAGGAUGACGGUCCUAUGGAUUGUAAACUGCUUUUGCACAGGAAGAAACAACGCUACGUGUAGCGUCUUGACGGUACUGUGAGAAUAAGGAUCGGCUAACUCCGUGCCAGCAGCCGCGGUAAUACGGAGGAUCCAAGCGUUAUCCGGAAUCAUUGGGUUUAAAGGGUCCGUAGGCGGUCUUAUAAGUCAGUGGUGAAAUCUCCCCGCUCAACGGGGAAACGGCCAUUGAUACUGUAGGACUUGAAUUAUUAGGAAGUAACUAGAAUAUGUAGUGUAGCGGUGAAAUGCUUAGAGAUUACAUGGAAUACCAAUUGCGAAGGCAGGUUACUACUAAUGGAUUGACGCUGAUGGACGAAAGCGUGGGUAGCGAACAGGAUUAGAUACCCUGGUAGUCCACGCCGUAAACGAUGGAUACUAGCUGUUGGGCGCAAGUUCAGUGGCUAAGCGAAAGUGAUAAGUAUCCCACCU